rnacentral:lncRNA from 1 species
UACAACAUAUGCACACGCUGAACAAACGGGUACUCACACCAAAGAAGAAGAGGGUGAACACACACAAGACAACACAACAAAACAGAAAAAGGGUGAACACAAAAAAAAAAAAAACAAAAGAGUGCCCGGAGAGAUUGCUCGCAAACUCCUGCCUACGUAUCUCAUCUGGUAUGAGAAUCAGGGCGACGUAGUUCCCCUUAACAGGGGUACAACAUGUAAGAACAAAAAUUGUUC